rnacentral:rRNA from 1 species
AUGGGCAAGCAGCAGCCGCCGCCGCGGCCGGCGGCGAUGUCGGCGCCUCCCCCGGCCCGGCGGAAGCGGAAGAAGAAGGGCCGGCCCUCCCUCCUCGACCUCCAGAAGCGCAGCCUCCGCCUGCAGAAGCUCCAGGAGGCGCCUCCGCCGCCGCCCCCGCCCCCGCCCCCGCAGCAGCGCCGCCCCUCCACGCGCCGCAACCCCGCCCCGGAGGACGACUCGGGCGACGACGACCCCCGCCGCGAGAAGAAGCUCCGCCUCGUCGUCGGCCUCCACGACGGAUCGGCCAAGGGAGAAAAGAGGAGGACAGCGACGGAUGGGCGUGAAGAGCCGUCAGAUUCCGGCCCCACGAUGCCCCUGCCUGACAAAAAGUUAUUGGUCUUCAUCCUUGAUAGGCUGCAGAAGAAGGACACAUACGGCGUUUUCUCGGAGCCGGUUGAUGAUGAAGAGCUGCCCGACUACAGAGAUAUUGUCAAGCACCCCAUGGAUUUUUCGACAGUUAGAAAGAAGCUUGAUAAAGGGGCAUAUGCUAACCUGGAGCAAUUUGAGGACGAUGUGUUUUUGAUAACCUCGAAUGCCAUGUCCUACAAUUCACCAGACACAGUAUACUAUCGACAGGCACGAUCUAUUCAAGAGGUUGCUAAGAAGGACUUUGAGAAUCUUAGGCAAGAUAGUGAUGCCAGUGAACCAGAACCAGAACCAUUACCAGAACCGGAACCAAAACCACAGCGUCGAAGGGGCAGGCCUCCAAAGAACGCUGUCAAGCAGCAAGUUGAGCAGCCACCAGCAGAACGUGCUACCGCAAACUUUUCUGCGGCAGCACUUGCUAUGGCUGGAAAUAGUGGACUUUAUGCGCACUCAGGGUUUGAUAUACAGCGGAGAAUUGCAGAUGUACUGAAAGCUUCUUUUGCCAAUAGAAGCAAUGAACACAAUUGGUCCAGUGAGCGCAAAUUGGAAAGCAUUGAAGAUUAUUCAGGGUCUGGGAGUAAAUGGUCAGGAAAAAUGGGGAAGAAGCCACUUCCGGUAGAAGAGAGUCGCCGAACUACAUAUUAUCAGAAUCAACCAUCCAGUUCAAUGUAUGAGCUGCCAGUGGCAACCUCAUACAACGGGACAAGGAAGGUUCUUGUACCAAUUGGUGCUCAGUUGCCACAGGCCUAUUCCCGCAGUCUUGCACGUUUUGCUGCACAGCUUGGUCCUGUUGGUUGGGAAGUUGCAUCGAAGCGAAUUGAACAGGUCAUUCCCCCUGGAGCAACAUUUGGUCGUGGGUGGGUAGGAGAUGGCGAAUCACCAGACUCAUUUCAGCCACCUGUACCGACUUCAUCUCCGAUACCAACACCACCACCAAGCAGCAUAGCAGCAUCGAGUGAGCAGAAAACUGUAGAUGAUCCUGCAAGCGCAGGCCAUUCAACAGGGCCUCAUGCAGAUGCUGUGUCACAUGCUUCUGCCAAUAACGCUAAGAGGAUCGAUUCUCAGGCAGUACCAAGCCCGCAAUGCGGAUCAUUGCCGCAGGUUCCAGUUGAACAUUCCGUUGAGCUGAAGAGCAGCCAUAAUGUUGAGGAACGGCCCACCAUGCACCAAACUGUGAAUGGUUUUAAUGCUGUGCCAGGGUCAAUCAUGUUUGCACCUACCGCCCAGCUGGUCGCGAACCGGAUGCAGACGCAUAUGGCCGAUUGA